AUGCGAGGGGCCCAGCAGAGAGACAGACUCUUCAUACAGUGAGGUCUUUCUAACAUCAUGUUUACACCUUCGCAUAGGGAGACAAGCCAUUGUUGUUAGAUACCUGGAACUUUUCCUUUCCAGUGCAUCUCUAGUGAUGGCUUACACUUUU
rnacentral:snoRNA from 1 species